rnacentral:rRNA from 1 species
GACGAACGCUGGCGGCGUGCUUAACACAUGCAAGUCGAGCGAUGAAGUUCCUUCGGGAAUGGAUUAGCGGCGGACGGGUGAGUAACACGUGGGUAACCUGCCUCAUAGAGGGGAAUAGCCUUUCGAAAGGAAGAUUAAUACCGCAUAAGAUUGUAGUGCCGCAUGGUACAGCAAUUAAAGGAGUAAUCCGCUAUGAGAUGGACCCGCGUCGCAUUAGCUAGUUGGGGAGGUAACGGCUCACCAAGGCGACGAUGCGUAGCCGACCUGAGAGGGUGAUCGGCCACAUUGGGACUGAGACACGGCCCAGACUCCUACGGGAGGCAGCAGUGGGGAAUAUUGCACAAUGGGGGAAACCCUGAUGCAGCAACGCCGCGUGAGUGAUGACGGUCUUCGGAUUGUAAAACUCUGUCUUCAGGGACGAUAAUGACGGUACCUGAGGAGGAAGCCACGGCUAACUACGUGCCAGCCGCCGCCGUAA